rnacentral:rRNA from 1 species
CAACGGAUAAAAGGUACUCAGGGGAUAACAGGCUGAUAAAGACAAAGAGUUCAUAUCGACGGAGGUGUUUGGCACAUAGAUGUCGGAAAAUCACAUACUGGGGCUGAAGUAGGUCCCAAGGGUAUGGCUGUUCGCCAUUUAAAGUGGUACGCGAGCUGGGUUUAGAACGUCGUGAGACAGUUCGGUCCCUAUCUGCCGUGGGCGCUGGAGAAUUGAGGGGGGCUGCUCCUAGUACGAGAGGACCGGAGUGGACGCAUCACUGGUGUUCGGGUUGUCAUGCCAAUGGCACUGCCCGGUAGCUAAAUGCGGAAGAGAUAAGUGCUGAAAGCAUCUAAGCACGAAACUUGCCCCGAGAUGAGUUCUCCCUGAGACUUUAAGUCUCCUGAAGGAACGUUGAAGACGACGACGUUGAUAGGUCGGGUGUGUAAGCGCAGCGAUGCGUUGAGCUAACCGAUACUAAUGAACCGUGAGGCUUAACCUUACAACGCCGAAG